rnacentral:rRNA from 1 species
GACGAACGCUGGCGGCGUGCUUAACACAUGCAAGUCGAACGGAAAGGCCCUGCUUGCAGGGUACUCGAGUGGCGAACGGGUGAGUAACACGUGGGUGAUCUGCCCUGCACUUCGGGAUAAGCUUGGGAAGCUGGGUCUAAUACCGGAUAGGAACCAUCUUUAGUGUGGGGGUUGGAAAGUUUUUUCGGUGUAGGAUGAGCUCGCGGCCUAUCGGCUUGUUGGUGGGGUAAUGGCCUACCAAGGCGGCGACGGGUAGCCGGCCUGAGAGGGUGUACGGCCACAUUGGGACUGAGAUACGGCCCAGACUCCUACGGGAGGCAGCAGUGGGGAAUAUUGCACAAUGGGCGCAAGCCUGAUGCAGCGACGCCGCGUGGGGGAUGAAGGCCUUCGGGUUGUAAACUCCUUUCGCUAGGGACGAAGCUUUUUGUGACGGUACCUAGAUAAGAAGCACCGGCUAACUACGUG